CAUGAGGCUGAGAAUUGUUGAGGGAGAAGACCCUGGGAUCACCUACUUCUUGGGAGAAGGCUCAACCUGAACUGACAUCAGGGUCCGUGGGGGAAGGUCCGACUGGUCUGAGCACAAGUUUCACUGGUUUUCAAGCUGCCUUCCUCACCUGGCCAGCUGAGCUGUCUGCGCUGGGCAGAGAGGGAAUGGCGGAGCAGGCAUCGGGGGGGAGUGCCAUGAAGGCUGAACUCUGGAGUUAGCUGAUCGUAGCACAGAGCACUUUGGCUGUCGACCUCUGCUGAAGCCGGGCUGAGAGGACUGCUGGCCACUCAGCCAGGCCACAAAGAUCUAGUUCAGAGCAUGCUGCGAGUCAGUUCACGUCUCGUCCUGCCUCCAGGGACUCUUCCUCCGUACCAGCAGGUCCUGUAAUGAGCUGACCCGUGAGAGAGGAUCCGGCCCCCUUCGCCAAGCUCCAGAAGUUGUUACGCUGUGUCCAGAGCCAUGGAGGAGCUGUCCAACGGAGAAUGCCUCCUGAAGAAGAAACAUGUCCUGUGUGUCGGAAAGAGCUCUGUCUCCUUGCUGGAAGCCCCAGCGUCCCUCGUGGCAGUGCCUGAUGCAGAAACAGCUUCACGGGAAAAUUUCAAUCUAACAUCAACAGGAG